rnacentral:tRNA from 1 species
GCGGGGGUACCCAAGUCAGGCCAAAGGGGGCGGAGCUCGUUGCGUCCAGACUUAAGAUCCGCUGGCGAAGGCCUUCGUGGGUUCAAGUCCCACCCCCCGCACCA